rnacentral:rRNA from 1 species
GACGAACCGUGCGAACGUUGUUCGGAAUCACUGGGCUUAAAGGGCGCGUAGGCGGGCUGUCAAGUCUGGGGUGAAAUCCCGCGGCUCAACCGUGGAACUGCCUUAGAUACUGACGGCCUCGAGGAAGGUAGGGGCAUGCGGAACUGUAGGUGGAGCGGUGAAAUGCGUUGAUAUCUACAGGAACUCCGGUGGCGAAAGCGGCGUGCUGGACCUUUUCUGACGCUGAGGCGCGAAAGCUAGGGGAGCAAACAGG